UGUUUAUAUUGCGCCGUGUCCAAGAGUAAACACCACAGUCAGCCAUUUCCAUGGAGGAUUUACACUGCAGCUAAACGUUAGUAAGACUGGCGGUGAACCCUCCUUACGACAAGAUGGCAAAGUCCACACUCGCACACACAUGGUGACAGUGACGGCCGCCACGCUGAGACAGCUCAACAUCUGUUUUACCCUGGCAUGCCGAUGGUGCCCAGAGCGAGUGACAGCGAGAUGUCUUGAGGCCAGUCGGGCAUGAUGGGAAUGAGGUCCGUCCCGUCACUGAUUGUGUGGGUUCUCCAGCCACAACGACCGACAACAUGGCUUCCCACGGGAAAUGCUGGGUUAUUGCUUUGGAUCACU